rnacentral:misc_RNA from 1 species
UACAGAGGCCCCGAGCAUUACCCGGAAUUACUGGGCGUAAAGGGUGCGUAGGUGGUCGUGUUAGUCGCCUGUUAAAACCCCCGGCUCAACCGGGGAGCGGCGGGCGAAACGGCACGACUAGAGAGCGUGAGAGGUCUGUGGAACUCUAGGUGUAGGGGUGAAAUCCGUUGAUAUCUAGGGGAACACCGAAAGCGAAGGCAGCAGACUGGCGCGUUUCUGACACUCAAGCACGAAAGCGUGGGUAGCGAACGGG